ACCUGGCAACCUGACAACCCUUCGUAGCAGGUCGUAUAUUUCUUAUAUAAAAUCGCUCAAGUUAUUAUACCUGUUCACAACUGAACUGACAUCAAAUUAUAAGUGUAGAAAUAAGCUGGUUCCAAUUCAUGACUUGGGUGUAUCAACAACUCUAGGAGGAAAGGAAGCGCAUGAGUACAUCUGCAUAUAGGUAGACCAUCAACCUCAUCAUUAAUUCAAAGUCCGAAAUGACUGAAUCAAGGGACAACCUUGGUUGUGCUAACACUACAUGUAGGACGCUGUUGCACAACAAACCCAAGUACUCCAGUGACGCUGUCUCCCAACAAACCCAAGUACUCCAGUGACACUGUCGCUCAACAAACCCAAGUGCUCCAGUGACACUGUCGCUCAACAAACCCAAGUGCUCCAGUGACACUGUCGCCCAACAAACCCAAGUGCUCCAGUGACACUGUCGCCCAACAAACCCAAGUGCUCCUGUGUCAUUGUCGCCCAACAAACUCAAGUGCUCCAGUGACACUGUCGCCCAACAAACCCAAGUACUCCUGUUACAUUGUCGCCCAACAAACCCAAGUACUCCUGUGACAUUGUCGCCCAACAAACCCAAGUACUCCUGUGACAUUGUCGCCCAACAAACACAAGUACUCCAGUGACAUUGUCGCCCAACAAACCCAAGUACUCCAGUGACACUGUCGCCCAACAAACCCAAGUACUCCAGUGACACUGUCGCCCAACAAACUCAAGUACUCCUGUGACACUGUCGCCCAACAAACCCAAGUGCUCCAGUGACAUUGUCGCCCAACAAACCCAAGUACUCCAGUGACACUGGCUGACACUCAGUAGACUGGUGCUUCAAAGAUGAGACGAGUUCAGCAACCCAGUACAGUGUUUGAGAUAAAAAAAAAUUGGCCAGUAUCCCAGUUGGAUACUAACAUUUCAAAAUCUGGUAAUUCACCUGAGAAUUUAGUAUUAUAUGGCAUCCCGGUGGGAUACUGGGUUCUUGAAGUCUGGUAUCCAAAAUUAAAUUCUGGUAUCCCCGGGAUAUCGGGAUACCGUUAAUCUCGAACACUGCAGAGAGAAAAGCCUCCGUCUCACAGAGAUAGCCCAAUAACCUCCACGUGUGAAGCCAGAAGACCUCUGGCUUUGGAUGUCACACCGUCUGCCUCAGCCUCUGGCUUAGCAGAUGAGGUAGAAGAGGUAAAUGCACAGGCUCCUCCACCAGAAGCUGAGGAAACCAGGGUUGAGCCACCCAACUCAGGGCAAUGAGAUUAAGUAUGAUGUUUAAUAAUGUAAUAUUAUGGGUUUAUUUGUAUAGGCGUAUGAAGCACUUAGCACUACUUUAACAUGUAGUUGAACAUAGGAAUAUGUAACCGUCUUGGAGCCAUGGCAGUUGGAAGUAAACCUUCAUUUGUGAACCAGCUGGGCAAGAACACAUACUUCCUAAGGAGAGCAAUCAUGACGCAUGGAAUUGAAGUAUUAGUGUGUUAUGAACAUUUGUUUACGAUCUGUCAACCGUCAUAGCAGAUGAUGGAACUUUGAAUAUACAGAAGGAAAAGUCUGCUAAGUUAAGUACAUUGUAGUAGAUUUCGACACCCUGUGUUUCGGCGUAGGUAUAAAGUGAUGGUAUUGUAAUGCUACAUGAAAAAAAGAAAAAAAGAAAAGUAAUGGAAAAUUUAUUAACAAGCUGUGAUUUCAAAUAAUGCUAAAUGAUGAACAAGUCAACCAGAGUUAUUUCCCUUGAUGAAUUAAAAUGUAAACAUCCUGUUUUCGGAUCGUGUUCAGAAUGAUAAUCCAGUAUACAUACAACACGAAAUCAGAAUGGAUUCAUUGAGUACUCAGUGAUUAGACUGGUCUAAUGAUGAUUUACCAGGAACAUUUAAAUUAUUCAAACAAAGAUGUGAACUUUACUUCUCUGUGAAGAACAUUAAAUUGGAAAAACAGGUUGACCAUAUUUUAUUGUUUACCGGUGAUGAAGGAAUUAAAGCAUUUAACUCUUGGACAUUAACACCUGCUGAGGCAAAAGACCCCAAAGUAAUAUUUGAUAAAUUAAAAUCACACAUUGAGCCAAAUGUCAAUUUCAGGUUACAGAGGUUUUAUCUACAACAAUUUAGACAAGAAAAAAUAGAAUCAGUUGAUAGUUACAUGACACGGUGUACUACAGGCAUUCAAGUGUAAGUUUGGAGAAGAUGAGUUAAAAGAAAGACUAAUUGAACAAUUAAUAAUAGGAACAAAACUUUUGUGAAGUCCAAAAUUAGCUACUCAGCAAAGAUGAAACACUGACGCUUGACCAGGCCAUAAAUACAGCACGCAUACAAAAAGCAUCACGUACAAAUAUGAAAUUGUUUCAUGAUGUACAACACCCACAACUAGAUGUACAUGUAGUCAGGAGGGAACAGCCAUGUAAAUAUUGUGGUAGAAAGCAUAACCCAAACCAAUGUCCGGCAUAUGGAUCCACUUGUAUGAAUUGUGGUAAACAAAACCAUUGGAAAACAGUGUGUAAGAGUAGUUAUAAACCCCAAUAUACAAAUAGAAGCAGAGGUAUAAACCCCAAUAUACAAACAGAAGCAGAGGAAAAGUAGGGACAAUUUUCGACGCAGAUCACCAUCCAGAAAGCUUUAUGAUGGCAGGCACAGUUCCAGAUCACACACUCCACAAAAAUCUGUAAACAUUAUAUUGGCCGAAAAUUCCCAAGAUCUUACUGAAAGUUUUAACCCUAUGAGUUUCGAUUCGAUCCAAGAUGAACACUUGGACAAACGAGAUGAAAUAUAUGCGAUAAUUGAUAUCACGUUGGAUGAUAGACCAAAGAUACCAGCAACACUAAAAGUUAAAGUUGACACUGGAGCACAACGAAAUAUCCUUUCCCUACGCACGUUCAGACGAAUGUAUCCCAAAAAGCUAAUGCCUGAAAGUUUUCCAAAGACUGAUAUACUUAAUCCAAGCAACACUGUUCUGAAAUCAUAUACAGGGAAUUUGAUUACUUAGUAUGGUAAGAUAACAAUACCAUGCCGAUACAAUGAUUACACAAGUCAAGCUGAAUUUUCUGUCACAGACUCAGAUGGUUCAGUCGUUUUAGGACUUCCGGCAUCACACUCAUUGAGACUAAUAACAUUACACUGUGAAGUCAAAGAAACACAACCAAUUGCAGAAAUUAGUCCAGAACAAAAACUAAUUAAUUUGUAUCCUGACAGAUUCCAAGGAAUAGGCAGGUUCCGAAGAGAAUGUCACAUCACUGUUGCCUCAUCAGUUCUAACGGUCGUACAUGUACCUAGACGAUGUCCCAUUCAUCUAAGAGAUGAAAUUAAAGCAGAACUUGAUGCAUUGGAGAAUAUGCAGGUCAUUGAAAAAAUGACAGAACCUACAGACUGGGUUUCAAGUAUUGUGUACAGCAGGAAGGCAAGUGGGAAGUUGAGAAUAUGCUUAGAUCCAAAAGAUUUGAAUAAAGCAAUAAAAUGACCACAUUACAAGACCCCAACACUGGAAGAGGUAACUCACAAGUUUUUUGGAGCAAGAGUCUUUUCUAAGCUCGAUGCAAGACAUGGAUAUUGGUCAAUUGUCUUAAACAAUGAUUCAAGCAAGUUGAUAACAUUUAACAGUCCAUUUGGUAGAUAUAAAUUUUUGAGACUUCCAUUUGGCCUCAACCUGAGCCAAGAUGUUUUUCAGCAAAACAUGGACCAGAUACUAGAACAAUGCCCAGGUACAGUCAGUAUCUCGGAUGACAUAGCUGUGGUAGGCAAGGACAAUAAAAAGCAUGACAAAAACCUUAGAAAUUUGAUGGAGAAACAAGAGAACAUGGUCUUGUCUUCAAUCCAGGCAAGUGCGAGAUCCACACCAAAAGAUUAAAUUCUUUAGCCUUGUUUUCGAUGAAGAAGUUGUGCAUCCUGACCCGAACAAAGUAAAAGACAUAAAAGAAAUACAGCAGCCUCAGGACCCCAAACAGCUACAAGAAUUUUUAGGAAUAGCAACUUACAUGAGCCCUUUUAUUCCAAAUUUGUCACAAAACACUGCUCCCUUGAGAGAACUGAUCAAGAAAGUUAGUGAAUUUGUAUGGUUAGAGUCUCAUCAGGCAGCCUUUAACAAAAUCAAAGACAUAAUAUGCAAAGAAAUUACACUCAUUUACUUUGACCCUACUUGUGAAACUACAUUACGAGUUGAUGCUUUGUCAAAAGGAUUAGGAGCAGUACUCCUACAGAAAGACAAACCCAUAGCUUUUGCAUCCAAAUCAUUAUCUGACACAGAACAAUGAUAUGCCAACAUUGAACGUGAGAUGCUUGCAGUAGUGUAUGGGUGUGAACGCUUCCAUACUUACCAGUGUGAACGCUGGGUGAAAAUUAAAGGAGGGCGGCCGCUCGGCACCACAGCCUUCAAAAAAAAUACCCACACCAAUAAACGAAAAGCAAAAAAAAAAAGAAGAAAAAAAG